GCGGGCAUGGCGGAAUUGGCAGACGCGUUAGAUUCAGGUUCUAAUGGUUGCAAGAUUGUGCAGGUUCAAGUCCUGUUGCCCGCACCA
rnacentral:tRNA from 1 species